rnacentral:lncRNA from 1 species
GGAUAGAAAGAUAGGUUUGCAUUGCAUGCGAAGUUUGGCAGAGGUUAGACGACUUCCACUUUGAAACGACGAUAUGUCUUAGUUAUUUUUGGACAUCAUCACCUCAGUUGCCUACGUUCAGCCCCCUACAAUUUUCAAGUUAAAUUUGUUGACUUGGUAGAUAGAUACAAAGUAUAUAUAUUCGUGCCUACAUUAACAAGAAGAAGAAGAAGAAGAAGAAGAAAAAGAUAACCAUAAAAGGGGAAGAAAGAUAUGUGCCUAACUCUAGAUAUUGUCUUUUACGGAGUCCAUGCCUCUCUUUCAAGGAUAGAAGGAUUACUGGUCAAUAAGAGUUGAAUUCAAAUAAUUGAUUAGCUUAUGAUCGAUUAAUUAGUGUGACUAUGUAGUUUAACCGACCGAUUAACUGGUUUGAUAUUGAUAGUAACCAUUAAUCACAGUAUUGAUUUUGUAAACUUAAUUGAUCAAUUUGGUUUGGUCUGUUAUAAACCCACAAACUCAAAGUAAUUAGAUAAUAUGAACACAUUGGGUUUAAAGUUCACACUUAUUAUCUUACACGACUCAAGAUAGAUGGCUCUCAUCUUCCAUAUAGGCCAUAGUAGGAGUCACCGACUGACAACCGACAGAAUUCAAGCUCAACGAAAUUUAUAUGUUCGGAUGAGCCCACCCUACCAUGCACAAUAUGCAAUGUUCGUUGAAAUUAUAUAUUCGAACUCGCAUAAGGUAUUAUAUUAUUUGUUUAAAAAAUUAAACUAAACUGACAAACUCAAUUGAAAAAAUGAUUAAAAUAAUUAACAAAAGAAAGACGAAAAUACUAUCCUGUUAAGUGUUAACUAUCCCAAACUCCAGCGGUUGAGCUUGAUCUUUAUUAAAAUUGAAAAUCAAGUGACCAAUAGGGUCAAGUGCUUUUGUCUAUAUUCACAUAAAUUGAUAUGUUAAACCAAAGUGGCUAGCAUAGUUGAAAAAUGGAUCAAAAAGUUAAUAGAAGAAAAUGAAAGUACCAUGCUGUUAAGUUUCAAGUCAGUUGACUAGUAGUGUAGUUUCUGAAAGAUUAAUGACUAGAUACGUAAAUAUCGGUGACAACGCGCGCUUCCGAAAUUGGAAAGUGCAUGCGCGUUAAAUUUCCCUCUUCUGGUAGGUUCGAAAUUCAAAAAAUCAUCCAACAACCAUCACUCACAGUCUCACACAGUCACUCUGAAAAAACGCCUUGGGGGAACCUAGCUCUGAACAGAGUAGCUUAAUGAAUUGGGCGAGCUGCAUCAGGAUAAUAUGAUACGCCCUUCCUUUUUGAAGCGUGACAUGGGUUCUAUUUGCAGAGCUCUCUUAGGAUUCCUGGAUCUCUCCGUUUCCUCGGCUAUGGCCUGCUUUUUCAAAUGCUUCCGCGUCAGAGACGACGACAGUUUCCGCGGCCACCGCCAUCCUCAAUUCUUUUCCCCUGCACGGUCUUCAUCGCCGAUGGUAAGAUUUCACGCUUUGAUUUCUCUUGCUAGCAAGCAAACGUGAGAAUUCUGCAUUUCAUGAUUACUUGUGACUGUUUGGUUGCUCGGAGAAAAGAAGCAGGUCAGGAGAUUCCCGUUAGGCGGAGUUCUGCUGCUUCCUUACAGCGAUGCUUCUAUUUGAAUUUCAUUUGAGUUUAAUAUUCACUUGUGUCUUGAAUACGAAUGUGUUUGCUGAUUGUGAUCGAUUGAUGUCUCUUGUGUGGAAAUCAGGAAGCUGCGGUGUCUAAGAACUGUUCAUCGAAGUUAUUCGUGUCCGAUGGUAUAUACGUACUUCUUUAUCUCUGUCUUAAAUUCUUUAUAUCAUCUCUUGUUUCAGUGUAGUGUGAAUCCGAUCUGCUAUAUUUUUACUUUUUCACUUCAUUUUGCAGAGGAAGCAGAUUAUCCAUAUACUUGUGAUAACAAGGGAAAUCUAUGUUGGUCGUCUCCCCAGACUCGUAAAGAGCUUAGGGAUGAGGUAUGUACCUACUGAUCCUUCUUCGAAGGGAAAUUUUGUUUUGCUAAUCAUGUUGAGAACUUGCUUGUGGCAGAUGUGUGAUCACUUCUUCAGUGUUGAUCUGUUUAGUGUAGGAUGAUUUAGCAAUUUUCUCUUAUUGAAGCUUCCUGAAUAGAAAUUUGAUUGCGAGCAAGUACUUGAGAAGAGAAAAACAUACUUGUCAGAUUCAAGCCAUGUCAAAAGCAGAUGUCAAAAUCUAACACUGUCCUCCUGUUGUCCUUCUAGUAGUUUUCUUUAGACUUCUAACUAUAUAAGCAUGGUUUUGAAAUUGUAGUCGUUUUGCCUGUAACUGAGAUGGUAUGACCAUGGGCAUUUGCUUCUUCUCGAUUCUACUAAUAAUUUGCUUAGGCGAGUUUUCUUAAAGCUUGGGGUACUUUGCUUGAGACCCCGGGUGAACUCCGGUAAACAUCUGAGAAGCUGAAGAGCUCGCCACCUGUUGAUGAUAGUUCAGCUUCAGCACAUUCAAAGUUCCAUUCAUGGAUGCCAAACUCAUCCUCCAAAAAGUUGUUGGCCGAUAUGGAAGCUGAUGAGCACUCUACUACCCCUAUGAAGAGUUUUGAAGAGUCUAGAAGGGAUUCUAUUUCUUCAGACCAGACACCCAACAGGUUCAAACACUGUCUUAUGGGCUUAUUCCUAAUUCGUUUAAUCUAUGUUGCAGCCAAGUGCAUGAUUCCACUCUUUGAAUCAAAACCUUGGUUCUUAGACUCUAGAUCAUUGUGUAACCAAUGUCUAUUGUCUACUUGUAUACUCAUUAUCUGUCUAUAUUUAGCUGCAUCUCCCAUUCACAGAACACCGGAAACAUCUCUAUGUGUUCCAUAGAAGACAGUGAAAGAACAAACAUGAAAGCUGCGGUGAAGCUUGAGGAGGAAGAUACAGAUGAUGCAUCUUCAGCUACUCCCUUUGUAACAGCGACUAAAUCUCAGCUAAGAAAUAAGUCUGUUCACUUCCAAAGUGACUUUGGUACAUCCUCAUCCAAAGGGACUUCAUCUGGAAGCAGUGGUCAAGAUCUGAAGAACUCUGACCGUUUUGGGGAUCUCAGUAUCUCAAAGCUCUCAACCAGGCCAACCCCACUCAAACUUUCCAGCGAGAUGCAAACACCAGGAACUGUCUUCCCAGUAAACGUAGAAUCUUCAGGAUAUGGAAAGACUAAGGUCAGGUCUCAGUAUGUUUGUUCAAUCUUGCACCCUAUUAAAGAUGCUUCUCAGUGGCUGGAACUGAAAGAGGAUCAUGCAGGAGCAGCCUGAAGAUACAAUCCCUUAUAGAGAAGCAAGCGUAGGGAGAACUUCCCCUUCUGCAAACUUGAAGUUGGAAGCGGGCCUGUCAGCUUGGUUGAAGCCUGUGUCAGCGACCAAUCAAAAUGGUAAUGGUAAAACAGAUCACAUUGGCAAAACUCCGGGAGACAGACCAAUCAUUGGGAUGGUUGCUGCUCACUGGAACUACGACGAGCCUAUUGAAGCUCCCCCGAAAUGGUGGGAUGGUAAUGGCAUCCUUAAUACAACCACUAAAUACAAGGAGGUAACCGAACAAACUGGAUUGUCCCGUUUUAUAUUUCUGUCUGUUUCAAUUUUUGCUCAUUUGGCUAAUGCUAUUGCAGGACCAAAAGGUAAGCUGGCAUGCAACACCAUUUGAGGAGAGGUUGGAGAAAGCUUUAUCCGAAGAGAGCUUGGUUACUCAGAAGUAAGUUCUCGCUGAGUCACCAGGGCUUCAAAAGCUCCACUGAGAUUGACAUCAAUGCUAUUGGACGUGUUAAUGUUUUGUUACUCACGUUUUGGGGAAUGUAAUGGGACCUGUAGGAGACCUUUGAUCAGUGGGAAGCCUAUAACUUUUGAUGAGUGCGAAGAAGAAAGCGACACUGCGUUCUCACAGUUAUCGGCAGCAGCUGCAGCUUCAUCACAACAUUCCAAGUCAGUUGUUUCACACUAGCAUGAAACGAUAUGACAUCUUGUCGUCUCUUCGGAUGUCUUUGUUAUGUUCUCGCACCUUUUCGACCAUAGUCCCUGAUUUUUUGUUUUGUUUUCUGUCAUUAGGGGGAUGGGAUUUCAGCUUUUUGUUAGCCUGGAAAGUUUGAAAAAUAAACAACGUGUCUAAUAAAAUGGCUUUACCCGUUGAACUGCGUCUUCUCUAAUAGAGUUGUUGGUUUAUGCCUUUUGGUUUCGGUGCAAGUUAUGCAACGCAAUUGAACUUGUUUCCCUAUGUUUUAUGUGUACAUACAGCUCGUGAUGAAACUGUUCUUCGCGCUCUUAUCUUUCAUCACAAGGAAUUUGAAAGCCCUCCCCUCCUUUAAGUGCAAGUUUUCGUUUCUGUACUUUCAGUCCUUUUUAUGCCGUGUUUUGUAUUGUGUUUCCCUUUUGUCUUAAUCUCAUCUCGACAAUAUUGGUCGGUGGUUAUGGUUUGUGAAAGAAGAGAGUGAUCAUGGCAUCCAGCGACACCUUCAGUGACACAAGUGCUUUGUGUUGAAGAAAUUCAGAAGGAAACCCGAGAACAAGGUAUAUCCUCCUCAUGCGAUUGCUUGUUGCUUCUUCUUUUAUGGUUUUUGAUACGGAAUGUACUGCUGCUUUUCCUUCUCGUUUGUCGCUUGAUUGUUUCUUCGUAUACAUACAGAUGUUGAAGAAUCCCACAUGGGCAUGUGUGACGUAUGGAAUCUUCCUCUGCAUCUCGCUUGUUCUGCAUGCAGCACACCGUAGCUUGGAGUGCAUGUGAGUUUUGUCAGGUAAUCUUGUGUUUUCUUAAUAGCAUUUUUUAUUUGCCUUCCGUGGUUACUUGAGGAAUAGUUGGUACGGUUGCUAUCUUGUCACCCAACUCGUAUGAACCCUUCCGUAGAAUUUAGGAUUUUGUGUGUUUGAGUGCAAGUCCAACGGUAGAUGAUUCAAUUGCUUAGACUAACAUAAAUAGGAAGAAUUGCUUUCAUAUUCCUCUUCUAUAUCUACACGAUCAGUAAACGUAAAAUAAAUAGUAUAGAAUGUUUACCCAGUAGCUGCCGCUUGAUCUUUUCUCCACCGACUUGCUAAAUCAUUUGGUGUGGAACCACGACACAAACUCAAAACUAAACAACGCGCUAUACCACGACGACAACAACAAUAAUAAUGAUAAUAAUUAAUAAACCAAUAGCAAAUUGCCAACGAGGCCAAAAAGGACAGUCAUUUCCCACUAGUGCAUAUAAUACAGACGAAAACCUUACUCCCAGCUGGCUGCUGGCAGGGCUGCCUCCUUCUGGAUUUCUUCCUACCUUCUCAUUUCUCAAUGUCUUAGCAUAGCCGCGGCUUCCCUUUCUUUAUCAUCUCUUUUCCCAAAUGGGUUUCCCUCUCUUCUUCCUCUCAAUUUGCCAUCUUCUUCUUCUUUCUUCACCUUCAUCUGCAGCAGUAGAUUUAACCAAUUUGAUUUUCAAGGGCUGUUCUGGCCAGAAAUUCAACGACCAAUCCGGGACAUCCUCUCAAAACCUAAAGACCCUAUUCCAAUCCCUUCUGGAACAAUCCUCCCAGAAGACCUACUCCACCGCCGUCUCUGGAGACAUCAGCGGCCUCUACCAAUGCCGGGGAGACCUCUCCACGGCCCAGUGCUACGACUGUGUCAGCACAAUCCCGCAGAAGGUGAACAAGCUCUGUGGCGGCGACACGGUGGCUGCCAGAGUGCAUCUCACCGGUUGCUGGUUGAAGUACGAGGUGUCUGGGUUCAAGCCGACGUCGGAUGAGGAGCUUCUGUUUGAAUGGAGUCCCUUCCGUCAUCUCUUCCAACUCAGAUGGUGGAAAUGGUGGAGGGAAGCAGCACACUGCGAGGACGGUAGCGCUGGUAGUUGGAGGAGUGGCGGCGGUGGGCCUGCUUCUGGCGUGCUUGUUGGUUGUGAAGUCAGCGGUGAAGAAAAGUCGCGGUGGAGGUGGUAAGCACGUCGGUGGCGGAGGAGGUUGGAGCUGAAAGAUAAUUCAUCUCCUCUGUUUGUUGACCAGAUUGCUUCCUGUUUUAGUUGCUAUUUUAAUUGUUAUUAUUAAGGUUUAUAUAUAUAGGUCCAUAGAUAGUUAGAGAUGUAAUUAGGGGUAGAAAUUGAGUUGAGAGUGUGACACAUGAGAAGCAUUGUUCAGUUUUCCUCUGAUUCUAGUUCUCUAAGCACCUUGCCCUUUGAUGAUUUCACCAUUACCAUGGUUUUCAACAUCGUACCUACAACAAUCGAGACUACGUUCAUUGUCAAUCUAGAGAUACGUUCCUCUUCGUUAAUAACUUCACCUCUAAAUCUUAAGAUACAUCCUACUCUAUCUUCACCAACUCAUGUUCUCCAUUGUUUUGUUCUCCUAUUACUCUGCCUUGAUGAUCAUACCACACUGUUAUCAGUACCAAACCGGUUAAUUAACCUGUUUGGUCAUAAUCAUCAAGUUGGUCUGGUAGUAAGACCAUCGAUUUGGCUGCUACUUUCAUUAGGAAAGAACAGAAAGCAGAAAAAGAGAUACAGCACUACAGUGUAGUCCUUAAUGUUUAAGGAAAUAUGGGGCCAUAACCAAAAUGAUGGACGACGUAACAUUCAACUAACUACAAGAGGCUCCGUAAAUGGCAAAGUAGUAAAUUCAAAAAUCUUUAUUAAAUAGAAAACAACAAUAAUCCUGAUUGAGACGCAGUGACGCUUACCUUUAGUGAUAUAAUAAUAAUUGGCCUUCAAAGUAAUGAUGUUAGAUCAGAAAACUCUAAUUGCUCUUCUUCAUUCCCCUUUAUUUGUUAGGUUAAAAGCUCGUAAUUCACUAUUGGUCUCUCUUAGGAAGAAUAAGAUUGCUCCAUGGAUGAUAACAAUAUAAUUUUGUUGCCUGCAUAGUGAAUUCUGCACUUGAAUUCUCUUUUUUGCAAUGUUUACACAGAGUUUCCCAUCAUCUAGGAGGAAUAUAAUCUCUAUUUUAUUGUGAAAAAAAAAACAUUAUACCAAAAAACCAAACAUAACAAAAAAAACGAACAACAUUAUUAUCAAGUAAACUGGAGCCACUCAUGCAGAUAAUCACCAGCCCUUAGAUUCAAGCUCAAUAACCUUCUUCCAAGAAUCCCUCCCACUAAUAUCAUCCCACCAUUCACUAACAUGCUUCCUGCUCCUAACCAUGUACUCCUUCUUAAUUGGACCCACCAAGUACUGUGUAAAUGGCAGGUGACUAAGAUCAGCAAGGCUGAAGAAGUUACCAGCCAAGUACUUGCUCUUCGACAGCCUCUCUUCGUAGAUGUCCAGCACUUUCCCUAGCUUCGCUUCGCUCUCUGCGAUGAUCCUCUCGUCGGAGGGAGUACCGACAGCAGGGUAGAACAUGAGGUGAAUUGUCAAGUUGUAGACAUGUGGGUUGUAGCUAUGGCCUUCAACUUCAAGCGAUUGUUCAACCAUCCCUCUUUCUUCUAUGGUCUGCCCAAACAACUCAGUCCCUUGUGACUUGUACUUCUCUGCGUAGUACCUCAUGAUUGCCCUUGAUUCUGCGUAUCAUUAGUUGAGAGACAUAGGUUUGUGUAUUAAUAGCUAGAUUACUUUUGGCCUUUGCACCUAAAAUAAUAUAACCAAGAAUCUCUCCCUACAACUUGAGUUAUUGGGAUGAGAUGAUUUUCUGUAUAGUAUUAGAGUCUUUUGAGUUUGGAUUGAAGUUCGGACAUUUAUUUCCACUAGCCCCUAUAUAGCCAUCACACUAUAAGUACUCAACCCAAUUACAAAGCUCUUUCAACCACUUGAAUUAUAUGAAUCACGUAAAGUUCAAUUGAAAAUACAAAUUAUGAUGAGGUAGAUUACCGUACAAAGUGUAGUCCCCAUCUUGAAUCAAGGGGAGAGAUCCAAAUGGCUGCCCAGAGUAGAUAAAAGGUUGCAUAAGAGGAACUGAAAGAAAGUAAAUUCGAUAAUAAAAUGAAGAAAGUGAAAGCUGUAUAAAACCUGCAACUUGAGGAAGUUAGGAGCCUUAUGCUCUCCUUUGAGAAGAUCAAUUGGGACUGUCUGAAACUCAACACCCUUUUCGAUCAGGCAAGCAAUAACACGUUUUGGGGAAGCAUAGGCUGGUCCGUACACCUUAACCACCAUUGUUAAUAUAAAAGGUUUGGAGAUUAUGUGGUUGGAAGAAAUGGAUUAGUGUCUUCUUUAUAGGAUGAUUAGAGCUAUGGAAAUGAGUGAAUACUGAUUACAACCGUUGAUCAUUAGGACAUCAAGUUGCUUAGUUUUUUUUCUUGUUUUCCAAAUUACGUAUUGUACUGGACUGACAGACCAAUUUAAUUAUAAUAUUUAAUUCAAUUUGUGUGCUAGUAAUUAAUAGUUAGUGUGCAAGUCGGCAGUUGGAGGAUACUUAAUAGUUCUGCCUUCCCACCAUCAGGAAUAAGGUAAUUACUACUACUUUUGUCUAUUUUCUUUCUCCAUCGAUCUUAAUAUCUUAUCUCAACUAUUAAUAGUCUAGUUUGUGAAAUGUAAUUAACUAACUUAGCUUAAGUUGUUUUAUACACUUUUUUCCACACUACAAAAUGAAGUUGACCAUAGUAUCAUUCUGCAGGCGAUAGCUUUGGCGGUUGAAGAAUGGUAUUUUGAACGUUAGGUUGGGAAAAUUAUUGAUUGUGCGUAUUCAUGUGACCAGACUUGUCACAAUUUGAUUUUCAAGUGACCAGCUGAUUCUAUUAACCACUUAUCUCAACCAUAAUUAUUAUUAUUUCAUCGCUUCCAAACAUUGUCCAUUGUUGAUGAGGUUAUGGUCUGGUUUGACUAUGAAAAUACUUGCAUAUUGCAAGAGAUGUAUUGUCAUGAUUCAUUAUUAUUGAUCUAACUUUCUCUACGAAGUAUUCAAUGAAACUAGCUUCUUCUGCGAAGUAUUCGAUAAAAUGUCCAGGGUACAUCGGUGAAACGGCGCCAUUUCAUUUGACUUUUCCAGGUCAGGCUUAUGGGUCGGGUUUCCUUGACCACAAUACCUGUGUGGACUCUGCCGCCCAGGGUUGUAUUUCGUGGGCCUUAGCCAGCACCACAAUUCCUGAGUGAGUCCACACAUUGACUCCAGAAAAUGGAUGUAAAGUAAAACAGGUACUAUAUUAUCCUCAAGUGUACAUUCAUAUCACACUAUCUAAUUACAACGACCAGACUAUUCCAACAAAACGUACACAAAAAUGUACAAACAGGUUGGUUGGUUGGUUGGUUGAUACCCAGUGAAGCGAUGCUGUGGAUGGCAAAUAUUACAUAGCACAUAUCUAAGCAGUUACCGGAGUUGGCACCGCAGGAGGAACCCGAUUCUCAACAGGAAUUUCGAUGAACUCCGAAAGGAUUGCCCUGAACUCGUCGCCCGACAUUGUUUCUUUCUCCAAAAGGACUUCUACGAUCUUGUCGAUUGCCUCGCGGUUGUUCCUUAUCUGGCUCAGUGCAAUCUGGUACGCACCAUCUGACAAUUUCUUCACGGCAGUGUCUAUAUCCUCCGCAAGCUUUUCUGACAUGGAGUUUCUUGCCAUCAUUCUCAUGAAUACAUCUGCGCUUUGUGCUGACGAGUCCAUCAGUGACCAUGGUCCGAUUUCAGACAUUCCAAAUGUGACAACCAUCUGUUAUCAAAUCAUCGGAUCCGUAAAGCUCAGCGCAAUAUAUAUGACAAGUUUCAACAGAUAGCAAAAUGAGAAAUUAGGUUAGAGCAGAAAGCAAUUCAAGGUUUUUUACCUGCUUUGCUAAACCAGUGAUCUGUUGAAGGUCACUAGCUGCCCCAGUGGUUACCUCAGGUUCACCGAAGAUAAUUUCUUCAGCAGCUCUCCCACCUAGUCCCCCAACGAUUCUCGCAAAAAGUUGCUGCUUGGAGAUCAGGGAAGGGUCAUCAUUUGGAAUGAACCAAGUAAGACCUCGUGCCUGACCACGGGGAAUUAGAGUGACCUUUUGAACUGGAUCAUGUCCAGGAGUCAAAGUCCUGAAUAUGAAGAAAAAUACAUUAUUCACAGUAAAAGGAGAGACAAGUAUAGAUCCAACUAUGUUCUUCUUGCUUACCCACAAAUGGCAUGACCAACUUCAUGGUACGCCACCAGACUUUUACUCUUUCCAUCGGUCAUUACGGUUCCCUCCAUCCCAGCAACGAUCCUAUCAAUAGAGUCAUCAAUCUCUUUAGGCGAAAUGGCUGUUUUCCCACGUCGACCAGCUAAUAUGGCUGCCUCGUUUAAGAGGUUAGCAAGAUCAGCUCCACUGAAGCCUGGUGUUCUCAUGGCUAUGACCUCAAGUGACACAUCUGCAUCAAAUUUCUUGUUACUCGAGUGUACUUUCAGGAUAUCUGUCCUACCACGGAUAUCUGGAACAUCGACACUCACCUGCAAUCCAUCAAUAAAAUUAACCAAUUAAGAUAGGAGUUUAGGGAUUAAGUCAAAAUGAAAAAGCCUAAUCAGAAUUAUUAUCUUACUUGUCGGUCAAAUCGCCCUGGCCUCAACAAAGCCGAGUCAAGGAUGUCUGCUCUGUUAGUUGCUGCAACCACAAUGACGCCAGUGUUACCCUCGAAACCGUCCAUCUCAGUUAAAAGCUGGUUCAGGGUCUGCUCUCUCUCGUCAUUUCCUCCGCCAAUGCCAGCUCCUCUUUGCCUUCCAACCGCAUCAAUUUCAUCAACAAACACUAUGCAUGGAGCGUUCUCUUUUGCCUUUUUGAAGAGGUCGCGUACUCGAGAAGCACCGACACCAACAAACAUCUCGACAAAUUCGGAGCCAGAUAUUGAAAAGAAUGGAACGCCAGCCUCACCAGCAAUGGCUUUAGCCAGAAGGGUCUUCCCAGUCCCCGGUGGACCAAUAAGAAGAACACCUUUCGGAAUGCGAGCUCCAACGGAAGUAAAUCUCUCAGGCUUCUUAAGGAACUCUACAACUUCCAUGAAAUCUUGCUUUGCUUCAUCAACUCCGGCAACAUCAUUGAAUGUCACGCCAGUGUUCGGCUCCAUUUGGAACUUCGCCUUAGAUUGACCAAAGGCAAGGGGGUUGCCCGGGCCUCCAGGACCGCCCAUUCCCCCGGGGGAACGUCGAGAGAGAAAGAACAGGCCACCGAUUAAGAGUAGUGGGAAAGCCAGGUUCCCUAUCAAGUUAAACAGGAGAGAACCUGAGUCUUCUUGAGCAUUAUGUGCUGCAAAGUCAAUGUUCUUUUCCCUAAACUUCUGAAGAAGCUCUUGGCUAAGGCCUGGAAGCUGCACUCGUACCCGUUGCACCCUAUUACCCAGCUCAGGAGAAACAGCUUCAACAAUUGCAAUUGUUCCAUUCUCGAACAAGUCCACCUUGGUCACUCUGUCCUUGUCCAAAUAUUCCAAGAACCUCGAAUAAGACAUCCUGGAAGAAGAAACCCCUUGCUCAUCAGCAAGGGCUUUCCCAUUUCCAAGUAAAGUGGAAGCUCCAAGUCCAGCAUUUCCCAACAUCAACUUCAGGAAGUCUCUUCUUCCAUCAAACUGCUUCUUAUCCAAAGAGGCCUUUAUAAAAAAUGCUUUUGAUCUCUUACCCAAUGAAGGAAGAGUUGAACAAUUGCACAGGUAUGGUUUGGUGCUUGAUAAACCGCUCCCUAGAAGACAAGCUGAUGAGGCUGACAUCUGCCAUAACAAGAGAAGUGAAAAUGCAUCCAUGAGUACCCCCAAUAUGUAGUAUCAACAAAACCUCUUCAAAAGAUGCUACAAACUUGCAAUAGACAACUGGUAUUUGGUUCAUUACAGAGUAACACACAGCAAGCAGUACUAGAACUAUAGAAGCAGCAUGCUGUCCAGGAAAUACAAAUAUACAGUCAUUUUCAAGCUCCCUCUUGGCAUAUCGCCAAACUAUAUCGAAGCAACUCGUAGUUAUAGUAGCCUGACAGAUCAAUUGACUUUGGCAUCACUACAAGAAUCGCAGAGCAAAAACGGAGAUUGGAUUGUCAUCUGCUAGAGUUACUCAAGUCUUAUCUACAAUCAUUACGCAAAAAGAGUCCAACUCCGAAUCGCCAAACUAAGACACAAUCUACCAACAAAACAAAUGGAAUUUCCCAAUUCGUCGAGAAAUCAAUAAGUGGCCAAGGCCGAGACAAUCAAACAAAACUGAGAAAGAAUUUAAGCAGCAAGCAAACAAAGCAGAAAAUGAAGGAGGUGAAUUACCUUGGAAGCAAAGGCCAGGAAGAGAGUAGGGUGGUAGCAAGCUUGAAGUGCGGUUUGCAAUGGAGGGAAGAAGGGUGAGGAAAUUUGAAGGAGGCUGGGAAGCGGUGUCAAGCUGGUUAAAGGAGAGGAGAUGUGGUUGAGGAGAAAGGGGAAGGCGUGGCUUAUUCUCAGCGGUUAGGGAGCUCUCUCUUUUCUUCUUGGAUAUUUCGAUGUUUAGCCCCCUUGGCGUGCUCAUUUCUCCCCCUCUCUUUUCUUUGCGGUCUAUAUUAAUGGUGGAUUAAGCAAUUGAGCCACAAGAAAUGGGUAGAAAUCCCACAGCAAAGGCUAUUCAAUUUCGGCCAAUUCAGCAACUCCACUGGGCUACAUCCGAACAGCCACAGACGCUCCCCAUUUAAAAUUAUAGGUCAACAUAUCGUAAAAAAUUCAAAAUAUCACAAAAAUAUCUCGAAAUACCGCCAUACGAUACGUAUCGCCAACUUCUCGUUAUCGUCAAUUUCUUGCGUUUCGAUUUGGUUUGAAGAAUACGAAACGUUUCGCGUUUCGGGGUUUUCUGUCAUUUUCCAUUUUUCCGUGGUUUUCCAAUUAAACCGAGCAGUCCGCCGUGGCGUUUCGAGUUUGGUUCCGCAAAACCAAAACGUUUCGCCGCGCUUCAUGGAGUUUCUGCGAUUUUUUUUGUUGCAAAAAAAUUAUUUUCAAGACGAGUAUUGAUUAUUGUAGCGAUUUCUUCUCUUCAUCGCAACACUGUAAAAAUUACUCAUUCUAAGAUUUCACCGGCGCCAGAUACAAGUAGAUACUGUUUCCUCAUUCUACGCUACCCCUCCAAAUACAAGUAGCGACGCUGUCUCCCUCAGUGCAAGUCGGAACACCGGCGAUCGUAGAGCGAACACCGGCAAACAGGGCAGUUGCCGUUGGUCUUGACCCAAGGUACAAUACAAUCCCCGUGGAACAUGUGGUCACAGUGAGUCACCAUCACCUCUUCCUUGGCCUCGAAAUCUUCCAAGCAAACCGCACACCUCUUCCCUCCUUCCUCCGCCAGUUUCGCAUUCGCUGCCACCGCUUCAGCGAAUCGGUCUCUGUAAUAGAGGCACAAUCGGCUUCCCAGAGGCGGCAACGGCGGAGUGUACACCUCUCUCCUCAGUUUGUUAAGCGCUCUGUUCUGUUCUUCCUCUGUCAAUUUGGAGCCGGCGGUGGAUGCGGACGGCGACGGAGUUUGGGAUCCAGAUGCAGUCGUCGGCGGUGGGGGAAGGGUGGCGUAGGGACGAAGCUCCCUUGAGAGUGCGUCGUUGAGGAGAGAUAUCUCUACGCCUAUAGCUGAGAAAGGUGAUACUGCCGGUGGAACUCUGCUCCAAAUAACAAGUUCAGCUGCCGAUCAAAAUGGACAGAAAGGAAAGAAAUCAAAUGAUGGCAUGCAUGCAUACCCGGGUCGUAACCGACGACCUCUGAUCAUCAUCAUCCUUGGCUCUGCCGUCGGUUGCCAAAACGGAUCAAGUAUUGUCCCCCUCGGCAUAGGAACAUGAGUUGAUUGUAGAGUUGGCAGUGUUGGGCCAUAAAACUGCUGCCUGUUAGAGUUAGAGCCACCGCCGGAAAGGUAUGGAUCAAACAGAUACGGUGGUAGCGCCCGCCAAACUCCCCGGAAAUGCCCGCAUCUCCCCGGAAAUGCCCGCCGUGGCUCAUGGUUGAUGGCUUCGGAGAGAGAAUUGAUGUUGCUUUUCCGAGAGGAAUUUCAAGUAAUUUUUUUAUGUGCUUUUUCUUUCGCAUAAGCCAUAAGUAAACACAAGGAAUUUAUAAUAGGAAAGAAAAGCAGCGUUAAGGAGGCAAAGAACAAAGACGAGGAAUCUGAUUCCAUGUAUCUACAUGACUCAUUCCCCCUUUUAUUUAUGCCAAGAUAGAACCAAGUUCCAUUAAUCCAUUUAUGCGAUACAUAAAAGUUAAGUUUAAGACUUAUCUAAGAAUAAGUGAGUCUUGCAAUUCCGUCAGAAGAUCCUCAACGGUUUUGAGUUGGCUUAGCUCUGUGUCACAAGUCUUUAUGAAGCUGCCAAUAGAACAUGUGAACAUAGAUUUAUAUGAUACGACAUUUCAAGGAUGUUAAGCACAUACUCAAUAUUAGCAGAAAUACCUUACUUGCUAGUACCUCCACCACCACUGUUGUUGAUGGAUCUUACUUGCUAAUGGUUGAUGAUAAGCAGAAGUUCCAAAAUAUAGAACCCAUGGACAUGAAGGCAACACGAGCUUGAAGAGGGAUCAGCCUACAAGAAUGUUGAAGCUCAGCAAACCAUUAUAAUAAUUAGCAAAGCUAAAUAAAAUAUUUCCAAGAUACAGCCUCUCUAAUGGGUCACUUCGUCUCUCUCAGUCAAUUGUCACCAAAAAGAUUCAGGAUACAGCCGCUGUAUCUGCACAAGUUUCACACUGGCCUAAGCCUUUCACGUUUGAAGUAAUAUUCUGAGUCUCACUUAGUAGUUAUAGUAGUUAGUUGUUAUAGAGCUUCAUCAUUUUGUAGAAACUAGCAGGAGAUGCUUAUAGAUCUACCCACAAUAAUAUCACGACAAAAAUUCAACACUGAGAAGUUAGCAACAGAUAUCUACAAAAUGUAAUGCAAAGUUCCAACACCAGGGUUUCAAAAAUAAUACCCAACAAGGGAUAGAAGCAUUACCAAAAGUUCAAUAUACUGACAGGAAUCCAGAACCUAAAUCCUGCAUUGAGCCAAAUAUCAAUAACAGUUUAAAACACAACAAAUCUUACUAAGACAUGUUUCCAUUCCGUACAAGCUUUUACCAGAGAAGAGUGUGGGAAGAGCAUCUCUUUGGUACUUCCCCGGCAGCUGUGAAAGCUUCCCUUGCCACAAGCUAUUCCAUGCAAACACAACAGCAAUCACAGACGGACCAAGUAUUACUUGAUUCAGAACAACCUGGAAGAGAGAACAAUAAAAUGAUACUCUCAAUCAUCUGAUUCGUUAUAGUAUUAUACAGGCCAUGUUAUAACUUAUAACCAGCAGAAAACUGAGCUUCUCUAUAAUCUGAGUCACUAAUGUUAGCAUUCAUAUUCAUAGAUAUCAUGAGUACCUUCAGCACCAAAUUCUGUACUGUCUGCUUAGGUAAACAAUGCUCGAGAUACUGGUACCACGCAUAUGAACCAGGGCCAUACAGAAGAAACCCGUAAGAUGCCAUCCUUAGAGCGCGAAGCCAGUCAUGGUUACAAAGGAACAUCUGCAGUAAUCCAAAUUCAUGUUUCCAGUGAACGGCCAAACAUCAAUACUGCUAGUAUAUAGACAAAAAGCAUAUCAAGCCAAUACAAUAGCAAAAGCCAAAUCAGUAUAGAACAGAAUAGAGUGACACCGAUUCAAAACAGCUAACCACUAAAUGAAAGGAGCAACAAGAACCAACUGUACAGGAGUCUAGUGAUAGUGAAUUUAUGCACAUUGCCGUCAAAAUUGCAGGAAGGUAAAGACCCUAGAGAUGAUCGUUUUGGCAGAGCAUCAAGUUGACAAAUUCAUAUGUAAAAUUGAUCUCAAUCGCUCUCUAUAACAACAUCCCGAAUCAAUUACAAUAAAGCAGCCAACAAAUGUUGUAUCUGCCAGUUUCAAUGGAACUACACACAAGCAGCAGAUGAACUUACUGCCGCCUUAUCGGAUCCAAUAGAAGAGCUGAGCUCGUCUUGCGGUUUGGAGGCGGCUUUGUGCCUGCUCCAAUGCUCAGUAAGUUGAGCUAUAGUGUCGCCGGUGACAGCUAGGGUUCCCGCCGUGAGGGCUUGCUUCAGCGGGAACCGGAAACCGCCGGGCACGUUCACUGAAGUAUGUUGUGAUAUUGCGUGCGGGUGUUACCAGCUGGGCUCCCCGCGGUGGGGGCUUGCUUCAGCGGGAACCGGAAACCGCCGGGCACGUUCACUGAAGUAGGUGAAUUGGAGCCUCCACUCCGACAUGGUUUCCUUUUCUUGUUUCUGUUGUCCCAUCCCCAUCCCUUCAGCCCGCCAUUGCCAAGUCCCCAAAUAGCUUCCAUUUGACCGCCAAUGUUUCUGAGGCGCCAGCACGCCCAACACAAUAGUAUUAAAAUGAAGACUGCAAGUCCAAUGACCAAAAUGGGAAGUACGGUCAAAGUUGAGUGAAUCUCUUAGAACAAAAUAUCAAUAAUUUUUUAUUAAAAAUUAUUUUAUUUAUAUUUUCUCAUACUGGAUUAAGCAAUGAGCCACAGGAAAUGGGUCAGAAAUCCCACAGUAAAGGCUAUUCAAUUUCGUCCAAUUCAGCAACUCCACUGGGCUAGGCCCGGACAGCCACAGAUGCCCCCCAUUUAAAAUUUAAGGACAGCCUCGGUCAACAUAUCGCAAGAAAGUCAAAAUAUCAUAAAAUACGUUAAAUACCACCAUACGAUACGUAUCGCCAAUUUCUUGUGUUUCGAUUUUGGUUUGGAGACUCGAAACGUUUCGCGUUUCUGGGUUUUUUUGUCAUUUUUCAUUUUUCCGUGGUUUUUCAAUUAAACCGAGCAGUCCGCCGUGGCAUUUCGAGUUUGGUCCCGCAAAACCGAAACGUUUCGCCGGAUCAGCUACUAAAUUGUCAGUUCGUUCUUGUUUGGAAGUUUCUCUCUCUCAGAUGCUAUUGAGCCUGUCUUAAUGGUUGUUGAUAUGUCAGCGUAGCCAAGUAACAAUUAGAGCAAAGAACUGUUCGUGGUUUUAUGAAUCUGUCAUAUUACGCUGUCUCAAGACCUGGAUCACUUCUUGGUCAGGAUGCUUUGCCUUGCAGUUGUCACUCGUGAAUCUCCUUGUUUAAUGAGACUAGAUCGAACAUGGAUCAAAGUUGUUCGGUUUACGUAAUUCUGGCAUUGGAUGUCUUUUAACAAUUGAAGAGGUUUGGUUUUCGAGGUACUGUGUGCUUACUACAGAGGAGCCGUAGGUGCAUUACUUGUUUACGAUGUGACUCGGCACUCUACAUUUGAGAAUGCAGCAAGGUGGCUGAGGGAGUCGAGGGACCAUACGGAUCCCAACAUUGUGGUGAUGCUUGUUAGGAAUAUGAAGUUUCAACCAGAAGAGUUGACCAUAUGACCACCUAAUCAAACCAGUACUGAAAACGGCACCGUUGCACUAACGGAAUAAUGAACUUAACGGAACUGGACUUGACCGUUGGAAUUGGAGGGAGAAAUGAUGAACAUGAUCUGAUCUCCCCCCUGAUUAUUCUCAACCAACUCUUUUGAUAUUCCAUGAAUGCAGGAAGUGGAGUUGAUCACGGAACUCGAGCGGUAGCAGUAACAAACCUUGGAUAUAAGCAUAGGUUUGGAGUUCUGGAUGAUAUACACUCGAAACUAGUCUCACAAAUAUCAACUCAAUCCUAGCAUCUAGUUUCAUUCUUGUGAUUACCUUGGGAAGCCUUUCUCGACACUCAGAUUCGUGUGUUGAUCGGGAAAUUGCUUCAAGGGCAGUGGCUUCUCCAUGAUCACACUCUGUUACUUGUAUUAUUCAUAUUUAGUUACGGAUUAUUGCUACUCUAACUAUCAAUCUUGAAGCAAUUUAUUAUCAUAGGAACCUAUGACUACCCUGGCAAAAUCCGUACCUGAUCUGAGCAAACUGGAAGCUCUGGACGGCAGCAACUACAAAAGAUGGUCACUAAGACUCCUAAUCUUCCUAGAACAUCUGGAGAUAGACCAUGUGCUGUUUGAAGAUCCGCCUGUCAGAACAACUGGGGUUCCUGCUUCCUCAUCAGAAACGUCUGUGGACACCAAGGAAAAGGAGCCCUCUAUAACAUCCUUGAUGACUGAGACUCAGAAAUAUGAGAAAGACAACCGGACAGCUCGAGUUCACAUCCUCAGCCAUCUGAGCAAUCUCAUCUUCGACCUAGUGGCGCACAACAAAUCCGCAAGAUCCAUCUGGGAGACCCUGCUAAAGAAAUAUGGAGGAGAAAAUGCUGGAAGGAAGAGAUAUGUUGUGGGGACCUGUCUCAACUUCAAAAUGGUAGACAAUCUGCCUAUCAUGGAUCAGGUUCACAAAUUUGAAAGCCUCACUGCAGACGUCCUAGUUGAUGGAAUGAACAUCUGCAGCAUGUUCCAAGCCAAUUCACUCAUAGAGAAACUACUUGACUCGUGGACCAACUAUAAGCAUCAUCUCAAGCACAAGAAGAAGGACAUGACCGUAGAAGAACUCAUUGGUCACAUCAAGAUAGAGGAAGCAAACAGGAUCAAAGAUAAGUUGUCUCACAGAUCCUCACAUUCAGUCAAUGUUAACCUAAUUGAACCUGAUUACAGGUCCAAAGGAAGAAACCCUAGGAACCCUAACUGACAUCCUAGGAAGACAUCUGGAAAACCAGUGAACUUCAAGAGGCCAGGACAAACUCAGAAAUAUCAAAAGGGAGCCUGCUAUGUGUGUGAAAAGACUAAACACAAGGCUUACCAAUGCACUCAGAGGAGGGACCAACACCACAGAGGAGAAGGAGGACAAAAACCUCAGGUGAACAUUGCUGAAUCCUCUAAAGGAAAGGAAGUUCACAUCACCUUCUCUGCAGUGGUUUCUGAGGCAAACCUGGUGAAAAAUGACACGGAGUGGAUCAUUGACUCUGGUGCAUCAAGACACCUCUGUGGGAUAAGGGAAAUGUUCACUGAGUUUGAAGAAGCUGGACCAGGAGAUUAAGUUUUCAUGGAAAAUUCCAGCACUGCAGUUGUGAUUGGAAAAUGGAGAGUCAAGUUAAAACUCAGUUCUGGAAACCAUUUGGAUUUAUCUAACGUCCUGUUUAUUCCAACUCUUCGCAGAAACCUCAAAUCUGCAGGUCUCCUUAACAAAGCUGGUUUGAAGCUGGUGAUCGAAGCAAACAAGCUGGUCAUCACAAAGAACAAUCUGUUUGUUUGUCAUUUCUGCAAUUGCUAUGAAUGAAAAUGUUGCAUCUUCCUAAUUUGUUGAGUCCUUUAAUCACUGGCAUGGUAGAUUAGGCCACGUAGGCUAUAGCUCCCUAAGGAAGAUGAAAUUUCUGAACCUACUUCCUAAUCUUACCAUUCCUGAAACAUUGCCUAAAUGUCAAAUCUGUGUGAAAUCUAAACCAGUCAGUAAACCUUUCAACCUGGUAAAAACAAGGAAAACUGAACUGUUGGAAUUGAUUCACUCUGAUCUUGCUGAUUUCAGAAAUCAUGAGAGUAGAGGAGGAAAAAAAUACUACAUCACUUUCGUGGAUGACUUCUUUAGAUUUACAAAAGUCUAUUUACUGAAAUCAAAGGACGAAGCAGAAUUAAAAUUUUUGGUGUUUAAGUCUGAAGUAGAAAAUCAGUUGGACAAACGAAUCAAAAGGCUUAGAACAGAUAGAGGAGGAGAGUUUAGCACCUCUUUCCUCAAAGAAACGUAUGAAGCUCAUGGCAUCAUACAUGAGUUAACAGCUCCUUAUUACCCUCAGCAAAACGACAUUGCUGAAAGGAAAAACAGAACUUUAAAAAACAUGAUGAAUGCUAUGCUUCUGAGUUUUGGUCUCCCGAAUGAAAUGUGGGGGAAGCCAUUCUAUCAACAACUAAAAUUCUCAAUAGAGUGCCUCAUAAAACUCUGGCUGUAACUCCUUUUGAACUGUGGUAAGGGUUCCCUCCUAACCUCUCCUUCCUUAGAGUCUGGGGCUGUCUAGCCAAAGUGUCAAUUCCACGUUUUAAGAGAGACAACAUUGGCUCUAAAACGUUUGAUGUAAUUUUUGUUGGUUAUGCAGAACACAGUGCAGCUUACAGGUUCAUGAGAAUGAGUGACAGAAGCAUGUGUGAAUACAGGGAUGCUGAAUUCUUUGAAGAUGUAUUUCCCUGCAUGACUAACUCACAUCCAGAUCGAGAGGUCUCACCUACCAGGUAUCCCCUAACGCCUGAUCAUAUUAGAGAUGACAGCCUUACUUUAAGAAGAAGUAAGCGUACCAGGUAUGAAACCUCCUUUGGACCAGAUUUCAUAACGUCCUUUCUGUCUGAACAUGUUAGUCACAGUGAAUUUACAGACUCCACUAUAUUUGCGUACUUUAUAGAAGAUGACCCUAAAACUUUUGAAGAAGCUAUGAGUUCAGUAGACGCUCAUCUCUGGAAAGAAGCAUCUAACAGUGAACUGGAUUCAAUUAGGGCUAAUCACACUUGGGAUCUAGUAGAUCUUCCAAAAGGUUGUAGGUCAAUUGGAUGCAAAUGGAUAUUUAAGAGAAAACUUAGAACGGAUGGAUCGAUUGAGAGGUUCAAAGCUAGACUAGUCAUUAAAGGUUUUACUCAAAAGAAAGGCAUUGACUUCUUUGAUACCUAUUCUCCAGUAACCAAAAUCGCCACCAUUCGUACAAUGUUUGCUCUAGCAUCUAUCUUUAACAUGCAUGUGCAUCAAAUGGAUGUGAAAAUCACUUUUCUAAAUGGAGACUUGGAUGAGGAGAUCUGCAUGGAUCAACCUCCGGGUUGUGUAGAACCUGGUUUUGAGAACAAGGUCUGUAGACUAAGGAAGUCUCUAUACGGGCUGAAACAAGCUCCAAAACAGUGGUUUGAAAAAUUUCACAACACCAUUACUGGUUAUGGAUUUAGGGCUAAUAGUUCUGACACUUGCAUUUACUCUAAAAUGUUUGACAGUGCCUGUGUUUUCCUAUGUCUCUAUGUAGAUGACAUGAUGAUCUUUAGUACUCACAUGUCAGCCAUAGAAGAAACCAAGUUGUUCCUGUCUAGCAAAUUCGAGAUGAAGGACAUGGGAUCUGUUGACGUGAUAUUGGGAGUCAAGGUAGUUCAACAAGGAACAAAAUACAUCCUAAGCCAAUCUCACUACACAGAAAAACUGCUGAAGAAAUUCGACAGCUGGGAGGUUACACCAGUAAGAACACCUUAUGAUCCCAGUGUACACUUGGAAAAGAACAAGGGUACAGGCAUAGAACAAGAAGACUAUGCAAAAAUUAUUGAAAGCCUAAUGUUCCUAAUGAACUACACCAGACCAGACAUUGGAUAUGCAGUAAAUAGGUUGAGCAGGUACACUCACAACCCUGGGACUGAGCACUGGACAACCCUGAGACGACUACUAAGGUACUUGAGAGGCACAACGGAAUAGAGCCUACAUUAUGGAGGGUUUCCAGGUGUGCUGGAAGGAUACACAGAUGCCAACUGGGUAUCAGACAACGAACAAGUAAGCUCUACAAGUGGUUUUGUCUUCACACUUGGUGGAGCAGCCAUCUCCUGGAAAUCCUCCAAGCAGACUUGUAUUGCUCGAUCAACCAUGGAGUCAGAAUUUAUGGCUCUCGACCUGACUGGACAAGAAGCUGAAUGGUUGAGGUGUCUGCUGUCAGAUUUCCCUAUAUGGGAGAACCCUACUCCAACAAUCUCCCUUUUGUGUGAUUCUCAGGCUGCAAUCUGCAUAGCUCAAAACAAGACAUACAAUGGCAAAAAGAGACAUAUCAGAAUUAGACAUGAAACAGUAAGAAGCCUGUUAGAAACAGGCGUGUUCUCCUUACAAUUUGUAAGAUCAGAAUUCAAUCUAGCCGAUCCUUUGACCAAAGGUCUAUGCAGGAGGAUGAUAGCAGAAUCCUCCAAAGGCAUGGGACUGAUGUCACUCAAGGGGAUGGAAAAUCUGUGACCAGAACCCCCUUCUGCUGAUUUGUUCUUCAGAAGCAGGUCAAACAAAGGUCACAGAAAGAUCCAGGAGGAUGAGUCAAAGGAGACAGAUUGAGCAAGGCCAGUCAGCAGCAGUUGGAAGGUCGAAAGAACUCACUGCACUGAGUCAUUGAGGGACUCAAUGUUCAUAGCCUGGACACCAGGUGGUCUGCAGUGACCUGAUGAACCAGAACAUCUCAUAGUCUGUCAGUUCAGGUGGUUCCAUAUAGGAACUUGAUGAGAUCAAUCCACAAUGUGGGAAACUCAGUAGGCUGCAAGAUAGCCAGUUCAAUGAACUUGAUGAGACAAUCUUGCAGAGAAAGAAGUCUCAUAGGCUGCAAUCCAGCUGGUUCAAUGAACAUGAUGAGAAUGUCAGAUGAAAACCAGAAAAUGAAUUGGUGGAGAUGAUUCUCAACCAAGGUAAUGUUCAGUUUGAACAUCGCUAAUGGAAUGAUCAACCUUUCAAGGGUGCAUGUGCGACUGCUGAACCUGAGGAUAUGGGUUCAAGACCUCAGUCACCUAGCUCCUCAGUUCUUCACGACCACUACGUUCUAGUUCAAGUCAUUCAGACACUAGGACUUAAGUGCAGAAAUUCUUGAAUCUAGUUGAUAUGCAGCUGAAUCUUCAUAUUCGUGGGGGAUUGUUAGGAAUAUGAAGGUUCAACCAGAAGAGUUGACCAUAUGACCACCUAAUCAAACCAGUACUGGAAACGGCACUGUUGCACUAACAGAAUAAUGAACUUAACGGAACUGGACUUGACCGUUGGAAUUGGCGGGAGAAAUGAUGAACAUGAUCUGAUCUCCUCCCUGAUUAUUCUCAACCAACUCUUCUGAUAUUCCAUGAAUGCAGGAAGUGGAGUUGAUCACGAAACUCGAGCAGUAGCAGUAACAAACCUUGGAUAUAAGCAUAGGUUUGGAGUUCUGGAUGAUAUACACUCGAAACUAGUCUCACAAAUAUCAACUCAAUCCUAGCAUCUAGUUUCAUUCUUGUGAUUACCUUGGGAAGACUUUCUCGACACUCAGAUUAGUGUGUUGAUCGGGAAAUUGCUUCAAGGGCAGUGGCUUCUCCACGAUCACACUCUGUUACUUUUAUUGUUCAUAUUUAGUUACGGAUUAUUGCUACUCUAACUAUCAAUGCUCAUCGGCAAUAAAUCGGACCUCAGCCACCUGGUAGCUGUCCGAACAGAGGAAGCUAAAGCAUUUGCUGAAAGGGAAACACUCUACUUUAUGGAGACGUCAGCUCUAACUGCUACCAAUGUGAAGAGCGCCUUCACCCAAGUGCUUAGCCACAUUUACAAGAUCGUCAGCAAGCGUCCGUCACGGGAAGCAGUGAUGGAGCUACCCAUGUUCCUCUCAAGGGAGAGGCCAUCGAUGUUAAGCUGAAUGGUUCUUUGGGUACUACUCUUGUUAGUUCAUGAGUGGGUUUAGCUCAGUGAAUUGUGCUGCUAUAGAUAAAAUGCAUAUGAUCUCUUGAUGUGAGAUUGGGAUAGUUUGGAUCGACGUGUUCUUGUUUGUAUUGCAUGCUGCAAGUAGCUAAGAGUUUGACUGGGAUCGUACGGUCCAGUUUUUUUUCCAGACGCCUUGGGAAAUUAUUCAGACGCAGCAACAGCAGAUAUGGAAAGGGGCAAAGAAGAAUAAUGAAUCAAACAAUAUAAAAAGAAAGCACAUGAACCUCAAAAUCAUUAUGAUCUAAAGACAAAGAGCAUCAUCAAAUUAAUAAAGGAAAUGCUGCCAAAAAGGAACAGCAUAACAGAACGAAUCGAUCAGUCACUCCUGUAUAUUAGAACAUAGCAGCAGUUCAUUCAAAGGGAAAAGGGGAAAAAAAGAACUCAACAUCUGUACAUCAACCAUUUCCAUCUCUAACUAAUGCACACAACGUUCCCACAUGAACUGCUGGGGUUCCAUCCGUACGAAACAUCCAUCUAUUUUGAUUGGUUCUCCAUACCAACUUUAGUUGUCCAUAUGAUAUUGCAGCAGUCCAUCUAAGAAACCGUACUCAUGGGUAACACUUUCUGGGUAUGGAGUGGCCGCCUUUUCAGACAUUGUUUGCAUUAUCAUCUUAAGUUAUUCAACUCUUGACGAGUAUUCGAGUUUUUAUGGAACCAGUUCAGUUCGAUUGUGCUGUAGGUUUUGCAGACACUACGUCGUUCUCACCCAAGUCCCCUACCUUGCUUUCCAGUUCCGUUGAUUCCUUCAUUGAUUCGAUAUCCAUGCUUGCUGUUCGACUCUUCCGGUUUCUCCGGUCCUGAAGAAUACAGCACAGGUAAACAAUCACGUAUAUGACAAGCAUUCAAGUUGAUAAAACAUGUUGCAGCAAUGGCUGCAGCAGGAGAUCAAGGUUCAGUACAUACCUCACGGAAUGGGUACUCUUCAGCUUCAAGCAUCCGCACAACCUGACUCAUUUUUGGUCUCUUUUCUGAAUCAGGAUCCACACAGCGAAGUGCAAUCAAAAGAGCCCGUUUUAGAGCACGAGUAGCAGGUCUAACUUCAAGAUUUGGGUCCACAACUUCCUCAGCUCUCUUGGUCCCAACCAUCAUCUUAAGCCACUCCACAAGGUUGACCUGUUUCAACGACAAGACAAUCUCAUUUACACCAAGAACGGCUUACUUUGGUUUGCAAGAGUACUAACAAAAAAAGGGUUAUUUGGUGAGAGCAGGAUACCUCAUUAGCAGGUCUUCCAUAAUCCACGGGAUCUCUUCCUGUGACUGCUUCUACCAGAAGAACACCAAAGCUAUAAAUGUCACUCUUCUCAUUCAACAAGCCAGUAUUGGCAUACUCUGGUGCUACAUAUCUGAAUUAAACAAGUAGUCAAGGGCAGGUUAAUUCUAUAUUGUUGUUUUUUUAGGGUAGAAGUUCUAUAUUGUUGUUUGCGAGCAAGAGAAACAAAAAAGAGAGAAAAUAUAGCAUUACCCAAAUGUACCCAUAACUCUUGUCGUGAUGUGACUCUCUCCUGAAUCCAAAAGCUUUGCCAAUCCGAAAUCAGACACCUUGGAAUUAAACUCAUCAUCAAUCAAGAUAUUGCUCGACUUUAUGUCACGGUGAACAACUUUUGGCUCUAUGGCUUCAUGCAAAUAAGCAAGCCUGCAAUGCAAGUCCUUUUCAUCAAAAUGAUUAAGAGCUACCAAUGGUAAAUUCUAACAUGAAUGAAUAUUCUGAUUCACAUAAGAUCCCCACAGUUGGAGGAAAGCAAUAGUACCACAUCCAAUGAUUAUGUUGGAAACAUGGUUAAAAUUUAGAGAAGCUAACUUACGCCUUAGCAGUCCCAAGGAGAACUUUCAUACGAGCCUCCCAAGUGAGGAUACCACGAUGACGCAUCGCCCCAUGAAGCCACUGUUCUAAGUUGCCAUUGUUCACAUAUUCGUACACAAGCAUCCUGAUUUUGCAGAGAAAUUGUUAGAACCCACAGAAAUUCUAAAUACCAAAAUGCUAACACAUAUACUCAUCUCCAGAAAGUGUGCUACGAAGCAAAGGAUGAAACAGGAUACCUAUGAACCCCUUCCAUACAAUAUCCAAGAAGCCGGACAAGAUUUUUAUGCCGAACAUGACCAAUGGCCUCCACUUCAACUCUGAAUUCCUUCUCCGCCUGUCCCCUAAAACAGUGGCAUGCAUUGCAAAGAAGUUUUAAGUGUACAUUAUUGAAUAUAAUACGCCAUCAGCAAAGAGACACACGGUUUGUUUUAAGCCCUGCUUACAGAUUGUUAAGGAUUUUCUUCACAGCUACCUCAGUUCCAUUAACGAGUCUUCCGUUGUAAACAACCCCAUAUCCACCCUCACCGAUCACGUUCUCUGUGGCAAAACGAUUCGUUGCAAACUCAAGAUCCCUAAGAGUAAACCAAUGACCCCAACCCAGAUGAGAAAAUUCUGGUAACCCAAUCAGUGGGGAUGCUGUCACAAGUCCUGGAUAUGAGGAUUGCUUCCUUGCUGUUCCGGAGCUUCCUUCUUCCCCAGAAUGAGAGCUAAAUCCUUUCUCAUGAUGAUAAACUGAGCUACAUUGGCUGAUGUUAUCAUGAUCACUUGACUUGCUCAUUCCCAGAUGACUAAGCAUCUUCUCUGAAUUCUUCUCGCUUGAUUUAUCAUUGAUAGAUAAGAAUAAACUUUCUGGUUUGUCAUUGUAGGUCUGAGCCCCAACCCUGUCAACCCUAAUAUCUUUUGAAACAUUUGGUAUCUGUGUAAAGGAUCCAACUGAUCUUCUAGAUCUCCUACGAAAAGACCAUACUGAUAGGAUGCAAAGAAUCAAAACUAUGAAGGCAGCUACUAAUAUCCCAAUCAGGACAUAUAGUUUCAAACCCAAAAAUGAUUUCUUGGUUAACUCGGCGUUCAAGCUCUCGGACGACAUUGUACUUCUGUGCUGAAGUCCCCUCCUUUCAGGCAGCACAACGACUAGUACAUUGUCCACCUGAAGACCAUAAAUAUUAACCAUACAUUUUGCCAAAAAGGUUUCCAAUUUCACAAAGGAUAACUUAAACAUGAACAUGAAAGGAAAUAUAUAGUCCAACACCAGCUUAAAAGUAGAAUAUGAUUACUAAAUUCAAACCUAGAUUCAGAAAGUAAUAGUCGUCACUGCAUUACCAUUCACAGCUCAAUACAGUGCACCUAAGUUCUUCAUAGAGCAGCAUUAAUCAUCCAUCAAAACCAGAAACUCAAUACUCAAGGAACUGUGAUCCAGAAAUAAAAACCAAGAAGGCAAGAAAAGCAGCAGAACAAGCCACAUCUCAAAAUAAGUAAACAAAAGAAAUAACAGCUCAAAAGAAGCAUCACUUAAGAUCCAAGUAAAGGGCAGAUAAAGAAAUGUGAAUCACUCCGAACCAACAAAAAAAGGAAAGCGAUUGGAAAUCCAAAACAAAGGAAAGUUGAAAAAUAAGAAGAUAGACAUGAAAGAGUUUACCUUGGUGAAGAAAUCUCAAAGAUGGAAGGUAAGUUAGCCUCCUUGAUCUUCUUCCUUGAGGAGCCAGAGGAGGAAAGAAAAAGAAAAGGCUUCUCCUUUAUGAAGCAACUGAGGCUCAAUAAGCAUAGAUUUGGCCAAUGUAGACCCUUAAAACCAACACAAACCCCCAGAAAUCCUUUUUUUCUUUUCUAAAUAGAAUCCCACCACCACCACAGUCUGAGAGAGAGAGAGAGAGAGAGAGAGAGAGAGAGAGAGAGAGAGAGAGAGAGAGAGAGAGAGAGAGAGAGAGAGAGAGAGAGAGAGAGAGAGAGAGAGAGAGAGAGAGAGAGAGAGAGAGAGAGAGAGAGAGAGAGAGAGAGAGAGAGAGAGAGAGAGAGAGAGAGAGAGAGAGAGAGAGAGAGAGAGAGAGAGAGAGAGAGAGAGAGAGAGAGAGAGAGAGAGAGAGAGAGAGAGAGAGAGAGAGAGAGAGAGAGAGAGAGAGAGAGAGAGAGAGAGAGAGAGAGAGAGAGAGAGAGAGAGAGAGAGAGAGAGAGAGAGAGAGAGAGAGAGAGAGAGAGAGAGAGAGAGAGAGAGAGAGAGAGAGAGAGAGAGAGAGAGAGAGAGAGAGAGAGAGAGAGAGAGAGAGAGAGAGAGAGAGAGAGAGAGAGAGAGAGAGAGAGAGAGAGAGAGAGAGAGAGAGAGAGAGAGAGAAGAGUCGUUUGGAAGGCAGCCAAAAAUGUGGGCCAAAAGGACGCAGAAAAGGUGGGGGAGGAAAUGGCACAGAGAUGGGAAAAACUGACAAGCAAACAGGAAUACCCCCAAUCUAACAGAAGCCGAGAAAAAAUGGUGUACAAGGGAAGAGAAGGCAGCUGCUACUACAUAAUAGAUAUGGCCAAAUAGAGUUCAGAAGUAGCAAAAAAAAAAGGGAAAGGGAAGCAGGAACGAGGGUGAAGGUUAGUUGGUGAGUUAUGUGGAAGAGAAAGAGAGAUGUAGCUCUCAGAAAAAGCUGGAAAGAGAAGGAAGCUUGGUUUGCAAUGGAGGAAACCAUAGAAAGAGAAAGAGAGAGUAAGGGCAAGCAGAAAAAUGAAAAGAGGAAGGAAGAGGGUUUGCAUUUAAUUAAUUAACUCGUAGAAAAGAAAAGAGGAACGUAGUCAAAACCCCAGCUGGAGAGAACUCCAAAUCUAGCAAGUUUCCAUAGCCCUCCAUGAGUCCAUGACUAUAUGACAACCAUGCGGCAUGAGAUACUUUGAGUUUUACUUUCCUUUUCUCCUUUUCUUUCUCUUCUGGUUUCUGACGAAAAAAAAUGAGAAGAUGAGGAUGUCAUGCCGUCAUGGGAUGUUGAGAAAAUCUCGGAGCAAAGAAGAGCGGAAGCCUAGAUAUUUUUGUUGACAUAACCUCCAGUGUGAGGCAUGAAUUUUGUUAAUUUGGUGACACAUUCGUAUAACAACAUGCCUAGUUUGCUACGAGAAUGGAGUAUGGGGGUAGC